AUUGAACGCUAGCGGGAUGCCUUACACAUGCAAGUCGAACGGAGUGGCGAACGGGUGAGUAAUGUAUCGGAACGUGCCCAGUAGCGGGGGAUAACUACGCGAAAGCGUAGCAAAUACCGCAUAAUAUUGGAGGGGCCGAUGGCGGAGGAGCUAGUUGGUGGGGUCACGGCUGACCAAGGCGACGAUCCGGAGCCGGGUUGGGGGGACGAGCAGCCACACUGGGACUGAGACACGGCCCAGACUCCCACGGGAGGCAGCAUGGGGGAAUUUUGGACAAUGGGGGAAACCCUGAUCAAGCCAUCCCGCGUGUGCGAUGAAGGCCUUCUGGUUGUAAAGCACUUUUGGCAGGAAAGCGGUACCUGCAGAAUAAGCACCGGCUAACUACGUGCCAGCAGCCGCGGUAAUUC
rnacentral:rRNA from 1 species